rnacentral:lncRNA from 1 species
UUAGAGAUUUAUUAUUGUCCAAAUGUCACCUCUCUUCCCAACGACAUGAGUUGUCUAAAAUCCCUUACACAUUUAGUGAUUUUACAUUGUAAAAACCUUACAUGUUUUCCAAACAACAUAGGUUCUCUUAAAUCCCUUACACAUUUAGAUAUUUCAUGUUGUGAAAACCUUACAUGUCUUCCAAACAACAUGGGUUCUCUUAAAUCCCUUACACAUUUAGAGAUUUCAGGUUGUAAAAACCUUACAUGUCUUCCAGACAACAUGGGUUCUCUUAAAUCCCUUACAUAUUUAAAGAUUUUAAGAUGUAAAAACCUUACAUGUCUUCCAAACAGCAUGGGUUCUCUUAAAUCCCUUACAUAUUUAAAGAUUUUAAGAUGUAAAAACCUUACAUGUCUUCCAAACAGCAUGUGUUCUCUUAAAUCCCUUACAUAUUUAGAGAUUAAAUUUUGUAAAAACCUUACAUGUCUUCCAAACAACAUGGGUUCUUUUAAAUCCCUUACACAUUUAGUGAUUUAUUAUUGUCCAAAUCUCACCUCUCUUCCCAACGACAUGGGUUCUCUUAAAUCCCUUACACAUUUAAAGAUUUCAUCUUGUAAAAAGCUCACAUGUCUUCCAAACAACAUGGGUUCUCUUAAAUCCCUUAUACAUUUACAGAUUUCAUAUUGUGAAAACCUUUCAUGUCUUCCAAACAACAUGGGUUCUCUUAAAUCCCUUACACAUUUAGAAAUUUCAAAUUGUAAAAACCUUACAUGUCUUCCAAACAACAUGGGUUCUCUUAAAUCCCUUACACAUUUAGAGAUUUCAAAUUGUUAAAACCUCAUAUGUCUUCCAAACAAUAUGGGUUCUCUUAAAUCCCUUACACAUUUAGAGAUUUCAUUUUGUGAAAAC